rnacentral:rRNA from 1 species
AGUGGGGAAUCUUGCGCAAUGGGCGGAAGCCUGACGCAGCAACGCCGCGUGAGGGAUGACGGCCUUCGGGUUGUAAACCUCUUUCGCGAUCGACGAAGCUCCUGGUUUUGCCGGGGGUGACGGUAGGUCGAGAAGAAGCACCGGCCAACUACGUGCCAGCAGCCGCGGUAAUACGUAGGGUGCGAGCGUUGUCCGGAAUUAUUGGGCGUAAAGAGCUCGUAGGCGGUGUGUCGCGUCGGCCGUAAAAACCUGGGGCUUAACUCUGGGCGUGCGGUCGAUACGGGCAUCACUAGAGUUCGGCAGGGGAGACUGGAAUUCCUGGUGUAGCGGUGAAAUGCGCAGAUAUCAGGAGGAACACCGGUGGCGAAGGCGGGUCUCUGGGCCGAUACUGACGCUGAGGAGCGAAAGCAUGGGUAGCGAA